rnacentral:lncRNA from 1 species
UUAUCAAAGGAAAAUGCCUCCGGGUCCCGAAGGACGCACAGGCAAGUAUCAUGCAGGGUCCUUUGAGCGUCUUUUGAAAAUCUCCCGGGUCCGGACCCGGGGUCCCGGGUCAAAUGGAACCCCUGGUAUACCAUCAUCUGCAAUGAAUUAUUAAUUAAUUUCAUUAUUCAAGAUAUUUAGCAGAUGAAAAUGAUGCCUGUUAUCUAUUUAAAGUUUAAAGUUUGUUUUCAACAAAAUCUUGAUAAUAAACUAAGGUACAAAUUUUGAAUUUAAGCUUGUUAACAUGUAACUAAAAUGCAAGUUGUUGUUUCAUUGAGUAAAAAACAUGCUCCUUGCUAAUAAAUUCAAGCACAAAGUCUGACUAAAUACAAAGUUUAAAAUAUUUUAUUUUUGUUUAUAGUUGUACAGCAAACACAUUAGUAUACAUGCAGAACUUGUGAUAAAAAGUAUAGAAUUAAUGUUUACCUAGAAAUACUUAAAACUUGAUUAUCUGAAUUUGUCUGGUUGUAUACUUGUUAAGUCUAUUUGAAAUACUUCAUAUUAUGGAUGAUGAACAUUCAUUUUGUAACUAUUGUUCUGGUUUUAGUUAGCAUGUGUAGGAACAUUCAGAAAAGAAUUCAAGAUCACUUUCUACCAUGUCAUUGAUUUACCUUGGGUCUUGUGCAUACUCUGGCUUUUUCCCCAGCAAGCUACCACUUGAAAAAAAAAGGCAUUCCAAUAGCAAUGAGAGUUUUUUUCUCAAGUUUGGAAAAUCCCAUAUGAUUUGAAGUUAAAAUUUUCAAGGAUGCUGUUUUACAGUAGUUUUUUCUACUUUUACAUGUACAUGUAUGUAGAUUAAGGAAGCAGUCUGUCAGCUCCAAAUUUUCUUAACCACUGGGUUACAUAGAUGCUAGUUGUUUACCUUUUCAAGACAAAUUUGCAAAGUGCACAAUAAAGGUCAAAAGGUUCAAGCUCAGUUGAAUGUCAAAGGUCAUGAUCACAACAUUUUACUUUCCGCUUAUCAGAGCAGCAUCAAAGGGUAUUCAUCGCCUUUAGUGAUAACUCUUAUUGAAUUAAGAAGUUUCUUGUCAGUAGGAAUGAAAGUACAAAAAACUGAAAAAACAUAAUGUUAUUAUAGGGCAAUGGAUUGCUUCAUUGAAGUUAUGAUUUAAUGAAUAAACUGCGAUUUGUAAAUUUCGUAAUCAUGAUUGUUGUUUUUACAAUGCGGGGAAAUGAGAGGCAAUUUCCAUGAACAAACUCAAGUUCAGUCAUGUGAUGAACAUUUGCUUUGAGGUUAAAUAAUUUUUUCUGUGUAUUAUUUGGACAACAUACCGUCAGGAGGUAUACAAGUCAAAUGCCAUGUAAUUAAACUUCAUAACAGAUACCCCAUGUAGAAUAAACAAAUUGUAAGUAUAAAUAGAAAAUUGUAUUACUACAUACAGCGAUUUUUUCCCUAUAUAAGUAGUACCGAAUAUCGAACCCGUUCACAAUUGCAAACAGUCUUUCACAAUUUUCAAAUUGGGUCCAUCGGACCCAUCCACAAUUGAUGUGAAAACCCCUAAAAAUAGUAGAAAAAUGCAUUAAGGAGGCUCCCAUGUUUGCAGUGCCUACUGAUAGUAAUCGUACCGCGCAUGUGCAUUGGGAAACAAUGUCACUAAGAUUAUGAUAAGAGUAUGAUGUAAUGUGGUAUCCAAGGGGGCGAAAUUUUCCGCCACUCACGAGAUACGGCUAACAUCUGGAAGGCUGCGCGAUCCAUCUAUAGCACGGUAAGAGUUGGAAAAGUUUUUGUUAUCAACUUUAGCGAGGAAAUCAAGAUUUGUUACAUUCGUCACCCAAUAUUAUCGACCCUUGAAUGUUAAAUUGUUAAUUCAUAGUGCGUUUGGGUAUGAAACGUUAAUUCAUAGUGCUUUUGGGUACGAAACGUUAAUUCAUAGUGCGUUUAGGUACGAAACGUUAAUUCAUAGUGUGUUUGGGUACGAAACGUUAAUUCAUAGUGCAAUUAGGUACGAAACGUUAAUUCAUAGUGCGUUUGGGUACGAAACGUUAAUUCAUAGUGCGUUUAGGUACGAAUCUGGUACGGAUCAUUUAAAUGGUGUCCUCAUUUGUUUUGGAAUAAAUAUAUGAAUGUAAGUUUUAGAUACCUAUCUUUUUACACCCAUAUAUUCAUAUUCAAUCAUUAAACAUUUUGAUUCACAAAGUAUUAAAAAAUUCACAAUUAAGGGAGGAAAAUUCACAAUUUUGAGAAAAAUGAUGCUAAUUUUCACAAUCUGGUACCAGACCCAUUCACAAUUUGAGAAAAAAAUCACUGAUAUAUGAAGUUAUGUCUCACUCAUUACAUUAAAUGUCAUGUAAACAAUCAGAUUUUAGAGAUUUGUUAUUUAUGCACAUCCAGUAUUAUAUAUUUGUAAACAGUUCUUUAAGGAAUUUUUGUUGAAAUUAAAGUUCUGUUAACUUAAGUGUAUAAUGUUAAUGAAUGAAUACAUUUUAUUUUUACUGCAAAGAUUUAAUUUGUUGUAGUACUCUGUUGUUUGUUUUUGAAACACUUUUGUAAUAAGGUUAUUUUUUACUGGAAGUUAUGACACAGGCAAGGUAUGUUGAGAAUUUCUGGCUGUGUUUGAAGUAUCUUUAUUACUUCUUUGAGAAUAUUCAACCACUGUUUGUGAGGAAGCCAUCCAGCUGGCUUACGGAAGGUCGGUGGUCUACCCAGGUGCCCGCUCGUGAUGAAAUAAUGCACGGAGGGGCACCUGGGGUCUUCCUCCACCAUUAAAAGCUGGAAAGUUGCCAUAUGACCUGUCAUGUGUCGAUGCGACGUUAACUCCAACAACAACAAAAUCAACGACUGUUUGAGCCACCUUUUCCUUAAGAAGGGUUCUCUUUGAUUCCUAUGUAUGGCAGUAUCAUUGAAAUUGCACAUCAUUCUGUAUAACUCAGGGUGGUAUUGGGAUUUUUUUUAAUUUUCAAAGAAUUGUAAAUAAAUUUUGAAUUUAACAUUAAAACAGUUUGAUGGGAAUAUUUUUUAUUGAAAAUUCUGUUAUUUUGGUGCAAGAAAAUUUAUAUUUUGUCUUAAUUUACUGAUGGAUUGUAGUAAAACGUUCAGAAUAUUUUAGUAAAGAGAUAAAAGCAAUACUUAUAUUUGAAAGUUCUGAUCUAUGCAGAUAGAUAUACUUUAUGAAGUUAUUUUGACAUUCUUAAAUUAUAAAAGAAGAGGCCUACGUGGCCGAGUGGUUAAGGACUUCAAAUCACUUGCCUCUCACCGAUGUGGGCUUGAUCCUCAUUUGGGGCAUUCAAUUCUGAAUGUGAGGAAGUCAUCCAGCUGGCUUGCAGAAGGUCAGCAGUUCUACACAGGUGCCCACUCAUGAUGAAAUAAUUCACCGAGGGGCACCUGGGGUCUUCCUCCACCAUCAAAAGCUAGAAAAUCACCUAUAAUUGUGUUUAUGUGACAUUAAACCCCCCAAAAAAGUAAAUGAAUUAUAAAAGAUCCAAUUACCACCCUUGAAUACCAAUUGAAUGAUGAGUUUAUAAUCUUGCAAAACAACUAUGCAAUUUUAGAGAAACACCGUUAAGGAUUAGGUAGAUCAAACAGUGAUUGGUAUUCAAUACCAUACAGUAAAACUGUGAUGUUGUCAAAGUUUAAAUAAACAUAGGUUGCCACUCUGAAAACUUACAUAAAUCUGUCAACUAGGCUUUCAUGAAAAUUAAAUAUCUGUUUAUUUUUAAUUAAGUAUAAGUUCUUUAUUCUCAUUUCGAAUCACUUGCCCAUUGCCAGUUUGGCUCAAAACCUCACUUGAGCUGUAGAAUUAACCGAUCAGCUGGUAGGUGAAAUAUUGGUAGUUCUACCCAAUUACUUGCCCAUGCUUAAAAAAAUGCCUGGAGAGGCACCUGGACUCUUCCUCCUUUGUGAAAAGUUGAAAUUGAAAUUUUCUGCUUAUUAAGUCCUCUUUUUUUUGAGAAGAAAGUCUUAAUGUUACUUAAAUCUGAAGUUUCUCUGAAACAAAAAGCAAUAAUGGUGUCACUGUGAAUUAAAAUUAGUGUUCAUUUUACACUAGGUUUCUAAACAUGUAUAUUAGAUUGUGCUUUGAUGGAGUAAUAAUGUUAUAUCAUUGUUUGCACUUGUGUCUGUUGAAAUAGAAUUUUAUUUGUUUCACCCAUGUCUUUCAGAUGUUUUUACAUGUGCAAUAGUUUGAUAUCAUGUUUUUUUUACACUUGUUACUUCUUUUCAGAAUUUUAUGUGAAAUGUUUCAUAUUUUUGUGUUGUUAUGCCAUCAGAGAUGGGAAAUAAAAAGUACUGAAGCA